AAUUCUCAAGCAGAGAUAGCUUUGUUGCUGUUUUGUUUGGAUUUGGACUUUGCUGUGCCAAUACGGCUGGUCUUAAACGCAUUAGCUGGUCCUUAUAGUUGGGGAUUUGGUUCUACUCAGCGUGAUAAUUAUCUAACGUUGAGGACAGUCUUAGGACUGGCCAGAGCUUAUGUUUGGAUUGCUUCUAAUUGUCCCUUGGACAUACUGUUCAAUUGU
rnacentral:misc_RNA from 1 species